GAUGAACGCUGGCGGCGUGCCUAAUACAUGCAAGUCGAGCGAAAAGACGAGGAGCUUGCUCCUCUGACGUUUGCGGCGGACGGGUGAGUAACACGUGGAUAACCUACCUAUAAGACUGGGAUAACUUCGGGAAACCGGAGCUAAUACCGGAUAAUAUAUUGAACCGCAUGGUUCAAUAGUGAAAGACGGUUUUGCUGUCACUUAUAGAUGGAUCCGCGCCGCAUUAGCUAGUUGGUAAGGUAACGGCUUACCAAGGCAACGAUGCGUAGCCGACCUGAGAGGGUGAUCGGCCACACUGGAACUGAGACACGGUCCAGACUCCUACGGGAGGCAGCAGUAGGGAAUCUUCCGCAAUGGGCGAAAGCCUGACGGAGCAACGCCGCGUGAGUGAUGAAGGUCUUCGGAUCGUAAAACUCUGUUAUUAGGGAAGAACAAAUGUGUAAGUAACUAUGCACGUCUUGACGGUACCUAAUCAGAAAGCCACGGCUAACUACGUG
rnacentral:rRNA from 1 species